CUUUUACAAGAUUGCCCCAUACUGUCCUCGUCUGGGAAGCCCUCCUUGACUGAUCCUCCUGGUUCAGGAUCCCAAACUUUUUCUUCCGAAACCACUGCCCAGAGAAAGUUUGCCAACCUCCUGGUCUAGACAAGAUUUUGCUGUAACUGUGUGACUACCGACAAAUCUGGCUGUAGGAUUGGACCUUAUCCGUAGAGACUGGGUUUCACCAUGUUGACCAGGCUGAUCUUGAACUCCUGACCUCAAGUGAUCCGUCCAUCUCGGCCUCCCAAAGUGCUGGAUUACAGGCAUGAGCCACGGCGCCCGGUCCAUCUUCCUGUGUUUCAACUUCCCACUCUGAAACUAUCUGCACCAACCAGGAAUUCUGUGAGUUCCUGUCCCUCGCUUGCUGGAGUAAUCGUCUGGGACAAGUGACGUCACCCGUUGUAGCCUUCAUCCGUUCCACUACAAGCAGCAGAGCUCUGGGUCGUGUGGCCAGAUAAGAACGAUUUUAUUUUCUCCAUGUGUCCAUCAUCUUGGUGACAUUCGCAAUGCACCCCUGUUUUGAUGAAUCAGUAACCAUGUAUCACUUUAAAAUGCUCUCAGUGUGUGCAGAGAUCAUAAAACCAGAGGUUUUUUAAAGGGCUACAGGAAAUCCCUAAGGUCAUGGCUUACAAAUUCCUGGGUUUGAGUAGAAGACACCUAACUCAGUUAUGAGAUGAGUUGGAGGAGGACUACCCUGUUUAGAAUGUUUGUGUAUAGGAGACUCUGUGUGUGUAUCUCUACAUAGGACUAUGAAUUUAAAUGCACAGCAGUUUAACUGUUAUAUGUAAGAAUCUUUUUGAGAGG
rnacentral:lncRNA from 13 species